ACACGACUUGGACCCCGGCGGGCCCCGUACCAAUUGGAAACGUUCAACAAAUCACCACGCCAGAUCUUGGACGGCAAGGCCCACUCCGUUCCUAAAUCCCUUUCCUAAUCGCAUUCCUAAACCUAAUUAGAUUUUAAUUUCGAUAGCUCCCAAAGACUCAAAGUAAAAAGCGUGUGGUCACCACGACGUCGUCUUCUUAAUCUCGCCCCCCCCCCCUCCCAAGCACUCUCUCUCUCUCUCUAGAACUUUCUCUCUCUACAACCCAAAACGAAGGUCAAUAAUUCGGUUCCACCUAACACAGCGAUACCUUUCCUCAUCGCCUUCUUCGCCAUCCUCUCUCUCUCAAGCUUUCUCGCUGUCAUCGAAUUUUUGCCCCUUCGCAAAACCUCUCUCAAGGUUGAUCUAGAAUUUUAAGAAAUCUUUAAUUUGAGAAUGGGUUACUUUGCAACAACUGAUGCUUUCGAUGAUUCUUAAUCGUUCGGCUCAACCCGGUUUGAUUUUCUUUUUAGCAAGAGAGCAUCGGUUAAUUUUCUCAGCGUUGGAGAUGGAUUCCUUUUUCAAUUUCAAAGCUCCAAGUGACGAUUGUGUGCCGUCUGAGCUAGACAUUCUCAAAUGCCCAUUUUUGAGAAACAUCAAUGAGCCCACCAAUUUUUCCUUCGCCUCAUCCUUGGCGUUCCCAGUACCUGGACGUGGAGCCAAAGGUCCAAUAUUUGAAGAUGGUCCCAAUUUUGACAUGGCAUUUCGGCUUUUCCAUGGGAGUGACGGAGUUGUCCCGCUUUCUGGAAAAUCAUAUGUGCAUUCUGACAUAGUUGAGCCUCAACCAGCCCCACCCAUGUUCAAUCCAUUAGCUGCAAAGGCAGCUACGAUCAGUCUCUCAUCCUUUGGUGCUGGAGGGCCAUUCAGUUUCGAUGCAUUCCAUAAGAAAUGGAAGAACCAGCAAAAGAAAUCUAAUUCCUCGAAAAAAGAUUCUACGUCAAAGGGAGGAAAUUCUAAUCACGAGGCAGUGGGCAAUGAGUGGCUACAAUCUGGAAACUGUCCGAUCGCAAAGUCAUACCGUGCUGUUAGUGGUGUCAUUCCACUAGUCGCAAAGGCUUUUCAGCCCCCUCCAGGCAUGAAAAUCAAGUGCCCGCCAGCAAUAGUGCAGCCCGAGCAGCCCUGUCGCGAACUGCAUUUGCAAAGAACCUCCGCCCGCAACCCCUUCCUGCAAAAGUACUUGUGAUUGGAGCGAUGGGCAUGGCAGCCAAUGUUCCUUUAGGGAUAUGGAGAGAGCACACCAAGAAAUUCUCACUAUCUUGGUUCGCCGCUGUGCAUGCGGCUGUCCCAUUCAUAGCCUUACUUCGGAAGUCUGUGCUGAUGCCUAAAUCAGCCAUGGCGUUCACCAUUGCCGCAUCAGUACUUGGACAGGUCAUUGGCUCCAGAGCAGAACGGUACCGUCUGAAGGCAGUGGCUUCGAAAAGUUCACCUCUGACUGAAACCUCCGCUGGUGUUGUGACAACGCAGACAAGCGAGCUACAGGUGCUCCAAGCAAAAACUGAAACCUCUGCUGGUGGUGCGACAACACAGACAAGCGAGCUACAGGUGCUCCAAGCAAAAACCGGCCACUGCAAUGCGAUUGAGGAGUGGAAUUCAGUUUCCCUUCAGGUGGCGCGUCCUUCGUCAUCCGCAGAUGUGUUCUAAUGAUUUGUUUGUAUUUCGAUGGGCACUGAUCGAUCCGUUCCAUCGUUUCUAUGUAUUUGACGGAGUAUAAUUCUCUGUUUGGUUUGUGACUCCAAACACUGUCCAAGUUCUCUGAAGACUUGAGAGAAGAAUAAAUGUAUAAUUCGAAUGACGAUUUUUAUAAGUUGUUUCCUUUCCUUCCAAGUUUUAUGUAUUUGACUAUGACCUGUAUCCAGAGGUGUACUAGUUGUACAAGGUGUUUAGAAAAUAAAGUACUUUGCUUUGAUUUAAAUAUAAUCUUUUCGAUUU